UACGUAGGGGGCAAGCGUUGUCCGGAUUUAUUGGGCGUAAAGAGCGUGUAGGCGGUUUGGUAGGUCCGUUGUGAAAACUCGAGGCUCAACCUCGAGACGCCGAUGGAAACCAUCAGACUAGAGUCCGGAAGAGGAGAGUGGAAUUCCUGGUGUAGCGGUGAAAUGCGCAGAUAUCGGGAGGAACACCUGUGGCGAAAGCGGCUCACUGGACCACAACUGACGCUGAUGCGCGAAAGCUAGGGGAGCAAACAGG
rnacentral:rRNA from 1 species